GUUAGUUAUCUUCGUUUUGUAUAAACACCUCCCAAAAAGAUGAAGACAGAACUUUAAUGCUUGCACUCUUCUUUGUCUGGGGUGCAAGUUUGGCUUUUCUGUUACAUUU